ensembl:lncRNA
UGGAUAGUUCAUUUGCCCUCAUCUAUUUCAGGUGUGGAGCCAAUUAGCAGCCAUUUGCAGGAUGGCUGUGUUAGAGCUGCUGCUUUCUUCUAAACUAUGCUGCACUGGGCUUCUCCGGGGGGAAUAUUCAGGGGAAAAAGUGACGACAACGCACAGCACAACUCGGAGAUGACGAAUACCGGAGCGGCCCCGCGAAGUGCCCGUGCUGGAACGGUUUUGUUCUCUGGUUAGCAUUUAGUGAGACGGGAAUCUACGUUUCUCUUCGCCCUCUGCAUUAGGUUUCCUUGUUUACUUGGUAAUGCGGUACAUACUUCUGUUUCCAUCCCACGGAGUUGAGCUGUUCGGUGAUGUUUGCCGUUAUCUGUGAUUUUGGUGGCGUUCCUGAUGUGCCCAUCCUGAAGGUGUUGUGGGUGUCUUAUUUAAAAACAAAACAAAAUCUACAACUUCUCAGAUGCUCACAGACUUUCUGAGGUUAAAUACUUCAGUAGUAUUCAGUACUUCAGUGUUGGUAAAUCUUUCAGAUGGUGCUGUGAAUGAUCACCUGUACAUCCUGGAGUAGUCAGAGCGUUAAAGACAAACAUUUCAUGUAUGGUUUUUGAAAAUUGGAACCGUAUAAAUCCAAAAUGGAAAAGGUCUUCUAGAGGUGGUCCCAGCAGAGGUCAAAGAUCUCUAUUAAGUGCUUUGGGAUGGGUUUUAUGCGCACUGAGGUUUGUUUUGAGUCAUAGGAGCUCUGGAAGGCAAUCCUCCCUGUACGUGGCAGAGGGGUUGGUGCCUGGCUGUGCCGCUGCCCCUCAACAAAGUGUUUCUGGGCUGCGGGAAAUGCCAGUGUGGCAGUUUCAUACCAAGGCGUUUGAUCCUAUCUUCAAUCAAAGGCUUUUCCAAUCCAAGGCACUGAGAUCUCCAGGACUGUUUAUCCAACUGCUGUCCCUUUGGUGGGGAGCAGAUGCUCCAUUGAUGAACUUCUGUAAAUUCUGGAGCAAACUUGGGAUUCCUCAGAGAUGCAAAAUAUUCACUAUUGCCUCAAGUGGUGAUGUAGAACAUCCAUCCUGUGGUUCUCUGCGUUUUCCUGCAGAUGUACCCACUGCUGUCCUGCAGGAGGGGGCAGCUCCCUGCUGGUGGGCAUUGCGAGCAUCCCGGCAGAACGAGGAGAGCCAGAAACGAGAGUGCUGCAGGCUGGGUGCGCCAUAGUGCUGCUACACUGGGGUUCUCUUGAAAUUCCUUCCCUUUAAUUGCUGUGCUUAUUAAAAAAUAGCAAUUUUCAGUAAGCUUCUGUAAAAACUGUGGAAGCAUAUUUGUUCAAAUGUUUUUUUAAAAAUAAUAAGCUCUCAAAAUUAGAGCUCCUACAGCAAAGGUAUCCUCAGUGCGAUACCUCGGGUCUGUCAGUACUGGUAUCAAUUGUUAGACUUUACAUUUAAUUCUAAGCAGGUUAAUAAAAUACAUUAAUUCCAUGUUGAGUCUUGCACAGAUAACUUCCAGUGAAAGAAAAGGAGGAAUUGCUGUGCCUCUUUUCCUCAUAUCUCAGUGUUUAAGUGAUGGAGCACACAGCAGUCGGAG